CGGGGUGCACCAGGCGCGAAAACUUCGCAAUGCACGAAAGUGCGACGAGGCUACUUCGAGUGCCGUCCGCUGAGGAUGGCUUUUGCCAAGUCUAAAUAGCUUGGAGAAUAAGGGGAGGGCAAGUCUGGUGUCAGCCGCCGCGGUAAUACCAGCUCCCCGAGUGGUCGGGAUGAUUAUUGGGCCUAAAGCAUCCGUAGCCGGUUCCGUAGGUCUCCUGUUAAAUUCAACGGCUCAACCGUUGAGCUGCAGGAGAUACCGCGGGGCUAGGAGGCGGGAGAGGCGGACGGUACUCCGUGGGUAGGGGUAAAAUCCUCUGAUCCUCGGAAGACCACCAGUGGCGAAGGCGGUCCGCCAGAACGCGCUCGACGGUGAGGGAUGAAAGCUGGGGGAGCGAACCGGAUUAGAUACCCGGGUAGUCCCAGCUGUAAACGAUGCGAGCUAGGUGAUAGAAUGAUUUCGUAUCAUUCUAGUGCCGCAGGGAAGCCGUUAAGCUCGCCGCCUGGGGAGUACGGUCGCAAGACUGAAACUUAAAGGAAUUGGCGGGGGAGC
rnacentral:rRNA from 1 species